rnacentral:rRNA from 1 species
GUAACACGUGAGCAAUCUGCCCCUGACUCUGGGAUAAGCGCUGGAAACGGCGUCUAAUACCGGAUACGAGCUGCGAAGGCAUCUUCAGCAGCUGGAAAGAACUUCGGUCAGGGAUGAGCUCGCGGCCUAUCAGCUAGUUGGUGAGGUAAAGGCUCACCAAGGCGUCGACGGGUAGCCGGCCUGAGAGGGUGACCGGCCACACUGGGACUGAGACACGGCCCAGACUCCUACGGGAGGCAGCAGUGGGGAAUAUUGCACAAUGGGCGCAAGCCUGAUGCAGCAACGCCGCGUGAGGGACGACGGCCUUCGGGUUGUAAACCUCUUUUAGCAGGGAAGAAGCGAAAGUGACGGUACCUGCAGAAAAAGCACCGGCUAACUACGUGCCAGCAGCCGCGGUAAUACGUAGGGUGCAAGCGUUAUCCGGAAUUAUUGGGCGUAAAGAGCUCGUAGGCGGUUUGUCGCGUCUGCUGUGAAAACUGGGGGCUCAACCCCCAGCCUGCAGUGGGUACGGGCAGACUAGAGUGCGGUAGGGGAGAUUGGAAUUCCUGGUGUAGCGGUGGAAUGCGCAGAUAUCAGGAGGAACACCGAUGGCGAAGGCAGAUCUCUGGGCCGUAACUGACGCUGAGGAGCGAAAGGGUGGGGAGCAAACAGGCUUAGAUACCCUGGUAGUCCACCCCGUAAACGUUGGGAACUAGUUGUGGGGUCCAUUCCACGGAUUCCGUGACGCAGCU